GGGGAUGUAGCUUGGUAGAGUGCUUGCCUCACAUGCACAAAGCCCUGGGUUCAAUCCCCAGCACAACCA
rnacentral:tRNA from 1 species